AUUUUCCUUUACUUCUUUUUGUAAUUUUUAAUAUAAUUGAAAUUUUUAAAAUCCUUAUAAUCUUUUUAUGUCUCUUUCCCUGUGGGACUGAAAAUUUCAACACAGAAACUAUUGUGUUAGAUUUAUUCACCUGUGUUUCUUGAAGGCAAUUCCACAAUCUCCCACUUUGAUACUCAAAUUAUACAGAAGACAGGAAUUGAAUGAACAUAUGAGUAGGUAAAUAUUACCAUCCAUUCUCUGAUUUGGUUUAGAAAACCAGGGUUUGAAUUUGGGUUUUAAGGAUAAACAGACUCAAAGUUUUCUUUGAUAAGAGUUUAAUAAAUAAAAUGAAAUGCAAAUUUAAUAAAAUAGGAAGGUAAACAUGUUUUCUAAAUUUUAAUACAAUAUAAAGGCAAAUAUCUUUCAUAUUAAACUAUAAAUAUAAAUAUAAGAUGAAGAAUAAAUAAAUAUAAAUAAAUAAACAAUAAAUAAAAACAUCAGGGCAGUCAUGUCUCAGCCACUGAUGCCACAGGAACUGAAUAUUUUUUACAUAUUCUUGCUUAAUACUACUGGCAAAAUAUUUGCUGAAUUAAAUUCAAUAGAGUCUGCAACUAAAGCAGAAAUAAGAGCCUUUUGAAAUGACCAAGGACAUAUGCAAGGGUAACAUGACCCAGUAGUUAAGGAGAAUCUUUUCAAGGUGAGCCCAGGUCUCCAUCCUUCAUUCUUAACCUUUCUUGCAGGUUUGCUGAUGAAGAGAAGGAUCUCAUGAUUUCCAUUCGGACAAUCUCCCAGGCACAGUCACUGUAUUUCUUCUCUUUCAGGUAGAGAUGGAUUCCCCGGAAGUACCUUUCACAGCCAGUGUAGGGCCCUCCACUCCCAGCACAGAUUCUUCCUCUCACAUCUCCUGAUCCAAACAGGUGUCCAGGUCUUCCAGCUGCUGAUGAAAUCGGUGCAGAGUUUGUCCAGGAGGAUCGUGUUCCAGGCAGCAGAAGAGUACUCCGUGUGAUACACCACAUUAGCAAAAUGAGGAACUAGCUAGUUUUCCAGAAGUAGCUCUGGACCAGUGCCAGGAGCUACCAAAAACCAGGUUGCCAGGGGCAACUCUUAACCACUACCAGAACUUGUCCAGAUCUAGAAGUAACUUCAUGAAUGAAACUUUUAUGCUGUCCCUAAUUAUCUUGGGUGGUUCAGGCCAAAGGUUCAGGUCUCAGCCCACAAAGAUUACUCAGAAUACAAGCUAAACCUAAAUUUCCAGGAAAUCAAACCAGAGAGAUGAGGGAAGGGC
rnacentral:lncRNA from 1 species